rnacentral:rRNA from 1 species
UAUCAAUUAGGGGAAGAAAAGGAAAUUACCAGGAUUUCCCUAGUAACGGCGAGUGAAGCGGGAAGAGCUCAAAUUUAAAAUCUGGCGGUGUAUUCCGUCCGAGUUGUAGUCUAGAGAAGCAUCAUCCGUGCUGGACCAUGUACAAGUCUCUUGGAACAGAGCGUCAUAGAGGGUGAGAAUCCCGUCCUUGACAUGGACUCCCAGUACUUUGUGUUGUGCUCUCAACGAGUCGAGUUGUUUGGGAAUGCAGCUCAAAAUGGGUGGUAAAUUCCAUCUAAAGCUAAAUAUUGGCGAGAGACCGAUAGCGAACAAGUACCGUGAGGGAAAGAUGAAAAGCACUUUGGAGAGAGAGUUAAACAGUACGUGAAAUUGUUGAAAUGGAAACGCUUGAAGUCAGUCGCGUUCUCUGGGAUUCAGCUUUGUUUUGCUUGGUGCAUUUCCUAGUCUACGGGCCAACAUGAAUUUCGACCGGUGGAAAAAGGCAGAGGGAAUGUGGCACCUCCGGGUGUGUUAUAGCCCUUUGUCAGACACGCCGGUUGGGAUUGAGG